rnacentral:rRNA from 1 species
UACAGAGGGGGCAAGCGUUGUUCGGAAUUACUGGGCGUAAAGGGCGCGUAGGCGGCCUGCUAAGUCGGACGUGAAAACCCCGGGCUCAACCCGGGAACUGCGUCCGAUACUGGCAGGCUUGAAUUCGGGAGAGGGAUGCGGAAUUCCAGGUGUAGCGGUGAAAUGCGUAGAUAUGCGGAGGAACACCGAUGGCGAAGGCAAUCCCCUGGGCCUGCACUGACGCUCAUGCACGAAAGCGUGGGGAGCAAACAGG